rnacentral:sRNA from 1 species
UGAAACCUGAGGAUUGGAUGUAUUAAAGACCACUAUAUCCAGAUGCCAAUUCCAUGUGUGACCAGGACAAAAUAUAUGGCUGAACGAAUCGAAGCCGGUUCAGAGAAGACUUUUAUGAUUAUACCCUCAAAAGCCCAGCUGCCACAGUGGCUUUUGUACGACUAAAUCCUCUGUAUACUGUUUAUCGAGCCUCUUAGCACCCAUCCUUUAUGACAAGCUAACCGGUUAUAUGUUUCCUGACUACGCGUGCGCACUGUCAGCUGUCCACAAGCAUUUGGAUUUUCUAUCCCUAUCAUGAACAACGCAAGAAAACAGGCUUUAGCUACCUACCAAACCUAGGCUGACAGGCGGACAGAAAUUGUUAACGCACCCAGAAAGCUACAAACCGUUUCCGCAUGUUGAUAAUUAUUUGGACGACUGAGUCGAGCGGCUUUUGCUAAAUGGACUACGCCACCGGAAUCUUACCCAAUUCCCCGACGCGGGGAUGUCCCCGCUCUUGACGACACGAGGAGACGUGCCAGGAUCUCUUCCCGCAACCAUUCCCUUCGCCGGACGGACUGGAGGUGUCGGGCUAGCCCGAAAACCAUGGAUUGAAAGCGCUACCAGAGAUUGAACGGCAAUUAUGAGGAAGCCUGAGUGUUUGCGGAGCUAAGAAUAGAGAAGACACCGGGGUGGCGGAGACGUCAAGCUAGUAAACAUCGACAUGAAGGGGACCUCGGGAUGGGAGCUAGAAUAUUGUUUCUCUCAAAAAAAAGUCAGGAAUUUUACCCCAGCUGGAACACUGUCAGAAGAAUAUGACCCCCCUUGAGGUGAUGAUGCAAGCGAGAACGCAUGCCAAUUGAAGCCGCUAUCGAACCUGAGAUUCGCCCCAUAUAUUAUCCGGAGUUUCGACAAGCAUGCUGUUGUCUGAUUGGAAUCAGGAAUAGGGAGAAGCACUGGUGAUUGAUUUAUGGCGCAAAAGGGCGGAAGUUGCAAAAGAGCUUGGGAGCCCGGCCCCCUGGAGGAAUGCUGCAGGUACUCUGUAUCAAAUGGAGUGCGUCUCACGCAUAUUUAGCAUGGUAUCCGGUUGGAGAUACGUUGAUUCUCCCCGCUUAUUUCCGGGACUUCCACCAAGAGAACCCGACGGCGGAGCAUAAAUUUCUGCAAUAAUAAGACCGGGAAGUAAAUGGCUAGUUACGGGGUUUCUUCGGUUACAGUGAGAAGAUAGUAGGAAGAGUUAAAAAUCAGAGUUCCAUGCCUAUCUCCGCAUAUUUUAGGGAAAGCACCCUGGCUUCUCUUUGCUCAACCCGUUUUGCCAAGUGAGGCAUUCGAAGGCCGCAGCUGCGAAUGCAAGCCCUCCCCCCUCCCCUCAAGCACCCCACAAUGCACACUGCGUAAUCGAGAUAGUAUGUGCAGUCGUGUGAUCAAAUUCCCCGAACAGCCACCCAUUCAGCAUGCCACCAUAACGGAAAAUCUUGGCUUAGCAGAUGCUUAUUGAAAUAAGAAGCAAAGAUGAUUGCCAUCGACCCCACAGCGAGAAUUCACAAACAUAACGAAGCAAGACUAACAACAUGUUAGAUUCGGUGGAAUGGAUACAGGAGUUGAGAGAGCGGAAUCACACAAAGUACUCCGCAAGUAAUGUUAUUUGUGGGCUUUUAUUCCCUCUCCCAUUGCCAUAGCAUUCAGUUCUAACGGAGCCAGUCUUACUAGCCCUAAAGUAUUUUAAGUCAUUUUAUUGAUGUCGUGUUAAACAACAAACUCAAUUUGAAUAAUUGACCUCUCUGAUAUUCAAAUUAACAUUGCAUAGAUCCACUAGCGUUUCAAGCCUGAAUGACUGUGAUCGAUAUUUAGGCAAUUCUACAUGACUUUACUAAUUGGAGUCUUAAACUCCGCACUACAAACCUCCAUAUCCUCCAUACUCUUCACCCAUUCAUUCCCCGUCUAUCGCUCGUUACCUACUAGGAAACCAGAGUUGAUCCCAACAGAGACUGGAAUGGUUUUGCUCAUUUAAUCAACAUUUCCGAUUAUCCGAUAAGCAAGGAUGAAUGACAAGGGAGAGUCGCAAGUUUCCUGCUGUCAUCGCAGCUUGUUCUUGGGUGUGAUCGCGCUUCUCCAGGGCAAGAUCUUUCCCUUUGUCGAUGUCUUCAAUCCGGUUGCCUCCUCCUCCCUCCAUCGUGGUUGAAUUCAUUUGAUUUCAUCCUCUUUAGCCCAAUGGUCUUUUCUGGGUGGGCAUGCGAAGCGGCAUGCGCUAAAAGCACUUCCUCUUGAAACCAGGAGUUUUCCCACCCCCAUCCCGCCAGCUCAUUCUACGUUUUGCCAAGCCCAUUGCCGUUCCAAUUCAUUUCUAUUUGUAUAAUGUAGAGAUAUAGAGGGAAGUUUGAACAGGAAUUUCUCUUGGAAGUCCUCAGCCAGCUCCUUUUCUAUCUGCCUGAGGCAAUUGCAGACAUUCUGUUUCAGCCAAAAAAAAAAAAAACCAGCUUAAUCCACUUCUGCCUCCGAACUGAACAGGAGUUAAGCUUCUGCAUCUACUUGUGCAGAAACUUCUAGGGUUUUGGAGAUGGUUAUCCAAUCUUGCGACUCGGGCGAAACCACCGGCUUGGGUGGCCAAUAACUCCCAGUUAGAUGAAAUAUCAGAGCUUUGGGCUCAUCCUUGGGUGUGAUCGCUCAGAACCCAGCGAUAUACUAUUGUGGCAUCUAGUAUUGGGUUCAGUUUUAGAUCACUGGCUAGAAAAUGAAGUCGAUGGUAUAUCGAGUUUCAACUCAGCAUCACACCCAAUGAAUGUCCCUUCUUUCAAUGGUGGUUCAUCUUACAUACAUGUUUACCAUGUAUAAUGUUUCUCUAGCCACCCCCGCAUGUGUGAUGCGGGGGAAUUCUUAUGCUCAGGAUAUUGAUAUUUAUCCCGGAUUGAAACAUUCGUUGCAGAGUGCCCAGACUCUAAGCGAAAUGUAUCUUUGGGCUCCAUUAACCGCAUUUUUGCAGCCAUCGAAGCGGGGGAUAUGAAAUUCAAGGGUCUGAAGGGUAUAAAUAGUCUAGACAAAUUCCCUCUUUUUGUGCCUUUCUUUCUCUCUCUCAGACUGAUGGGUAGUAAUUGAGAUUCGGACAAUCUACAAUCUCGCGGCCUAAUCGUACAAAAGCGCAAUUUCCUCAACCCUGACAGACAUAAAGUAUCCAGGAUGAAACUAUCCGGAGCAGCCGUUCUCGCCCUUCUUGCGUCUUCUACAACAGCUGCGAGCUGGAACUGCCACGCCUCGGGCGGUGGUGGCCACCAAACGCUGUUACAGCUCCACGGCCAGUUCAACAGGCUAUUUGGAAACUCGAAACUCCAUAUCGCAGCUGACCAAUGCUAUUACGCUAAAUGCAACAGGCACUACUUUGGAGUUUGCAACCGCGCCUCGUACACUAAAUGGGAGAAAUCAGGGGACCGGAAUGUUGCGAAGAAUGCCAAUCCUGGAGGAGGUUCUGCGUGCGCAAUAUCUCCGAGUCCCGUUCAAGAACCCUACCUAGUCUAUAUUUUCAGUCAUGAAAAAGACAUUUCUAUCGGCGGCAGAAAGAACGACAUCAGGUAUUGCUAAGUUUGAUCGCAUGCCAAUUGACCACUCGACUGUCGGCUUAGAAGAACUUUGCUACCUACUAGCAGGCGGUGUCUUCACUUUAUACACUUGUAUCUACUAUAUCUGUUGUUGGAUGAAUAUAAGGAUAAAUAAAGCACCGUUUACUGCUUGUUUCAGUGGGUGGGGCGUGUUUUCUAGUCUGAUUAGUGAAAACAUUCCCGAGAGACUUCCAGGCUUCAGAUUCACGAGGUCAAGCAUGUUUAUUUAUCGUUCAUUCAUUCAUUUAUUCUAUUUGCCGUUUUAUUUAUAUAUUUUCUUCCGUUCGCAAAGUCCCCUACUAUGAGCAAUUUCGUGGACAUCAUUGCAUUUUCUUCAUAGGGAAAUUGAAAAUACUUAAAUCCUUGUGCAGACCGUUAAGGGAACAUCUUUCCAAAUGAUUUCACUUACGUCAACGAACCCAACUCAUAAAUACAUACAGGC